rnacentral:misc_RNA from 1 species
AAGACUAUAGACCUGCGGAGUACCUGCGGAAGGAUCAUUAUCGUAUUGUAACAAUUGGGGGGGCCACCGUGGGCUGUCGCUGACCCUUUGAAAGGGGGGUCGUGCACGCCCCCAUAGUGUCAUCCUCAUACAAUCCAACUCACCUCUGUGCAUCACCGCGUGGGUUCCUUUCUGGGUCGAGUCAGACUGGCUCAGAAAAAGGGGGCUUGCGUUUUCCAUACAAAUACCCUUAUAAAUCCA